AUUUCCCGCCUUUAUUAAUUGAAACCUUUAUGUGUUAUAUUUUAUGAAUAGAAGUGAAAGCAAGUUGAAUUUUUUUAUCCCAAGUGUAACAGGUCACCAUUUCUACCCGUGGAGUUAAUUCAAUUGAUGAUUGAAACUUACAUAUCAACUGUAAUGCUCAGAGAAUCUCAGAUUUAUAGUUAUGUGUUUUCUACCUGAAGUCCUGAAUGUAAUGAUCCUGAUUAAAUCAUAAAAGAUAUACUUACAGGCUGGGGCAUAGAUUGUUCAAUGGUACAUACAUUUGGAGUCUACAUUACCAAUUUAGGGCGUCUUCUUAUCCUGGUCAAAACUCUCCACAACGUGUAGUGAUCUUUGGAGAUAUGGGAAAGGAUGAGGCUGAUGGCUCUAAUGAAUAUAAUAAUUUCCAGCAUGGCUCUCUUAACACUACUAAGCAACUCAUUAGAGACUUGGAGAACAUAGAUAUAGUGUUUCACAUUGGAGAUAUUUGCUAUGCAAAUGGCUAUCUUUCGCAGUGGGAUCAAUUUAUUGCACAAAUUGAGCCAAUUGCCUCAACUG